rnacentral:piRNA from 1 species
UGCUCACUUGCCAGGCAUUCACAAACAC